rnacentral:lncRNA from 1 species
GUGCAUCAAGUACGGUCUAAAUGAAACCCGAUGAAAGCGAAAAUAAACUUUUUCAACGGCCUAUACCAACAAGCGGAUCGCACACGAGGAAGCGGAUGUAAGGAUCUCGACGUGAUGAAAGUCGCGUUAACAGAAUUUAAAGAGAGAUUUCCGAACGGUUUUCAACAUGUCGAGGCGUGGGAGGUCGUUCGAAAACACGACAAAUGGGCCCAAGUCCCAUUGUUGGGUGAGGAAGGUGAAGGUUCGGCACAUAAA